AAACCAACAGGGAUUGCCUUAGUAACGGCGAGUGAAGCGGCAAAAGCUCAAAUUUGAAAUCUGGCACCUUCGGUGUCCGAGUUGUAAUUUGAAGAAGGUAACUUUGGAGUUGGCUCUUGUCUAUGUUCCUUGGAACAGGACGUCACAGAGGGUGAGAAUCCCGUGCGAUGAGAUGCCCAAUUCUAUGUAAAGUGCUUUCGAAGAGUCGAGUUGUUUGGGAAUGCAGCUCUAAGUGGGUGGUAAAUUCCAUCUAAAGCUAAAUAUUGGCGAGAGACCGAUAGCGAACAAGUACAGUGAUGGAAAGAUGAAAAGAACUUUGAAAAGAGAGUGAAAAAGUACGUGAAAUUGUUGAAAGGGAAGGGCUUGAGAUCAGACUUGGUAUUUUGCGAUCCUUUCCUUCUUGGUUGGGUUCCUCGCAGCUUACUGGGCCAGCAUCGGUUUGGAUGGUAGGAUAAUGACUAAGGAAAAUGUGGCUCUACUUCGGUGGAGUGUUAUAGCCUUGGUUGAUACU
rnacentral:rRNA from 1 species